GCGGGUGUGGUGGAAUGGCAGACACGCAUGCCUUAGGAGCAUGUGCCGUAAGGCGUGGAGGUUCAAGUCCUCUCACCCGCACCA
rnacentral:tRNA from 1 species